rnacentral:tRNA from 1 species
GGGGGAUUAGCACAACGGUUAGGGCAGUCUGCUUAUAACGGAUUGAAGAGUGUUCAACUCACUCAUCCCCCA